CAGUAGAAGUCAAAGUUCGCCUGGCGAUA
rnacentral:sRNA from 1 species